AUGGCCGUGGGACACAUCGGGGUAGUACACACAUCGGGGCAGUACACUGCGCGGUCAGUGUAUCGGGCGCUGCACCUUGGGCUUGCGACUUCCCCUAGAUACGAGUGCAUUUGGAGGAGUGGGGCGAUCCUAAAAUGCAAAAUCUUUGCAUGGCUAGCGGUGCAAUAUAGGCUAUGGACUUCGGAUCGGCGCGCUAGACAUGGCCUGCAGGACACUACGGCGGCAUGCUACACGUGCCUACAAGAGGAAGAUAUGGUUGACCAUAUCUUACUUCUUUGCCCUUAUGCCAAGGAGGUUUGGCAUCUUUGCUUCACGGAAAUUAGGGUCACCGUCCGGCAGCCGCAAUCAGGUGACUCGCUGGAACCGUGGUGGCUUCAGGCGCGGAAUGCAAUCUCGAAGACGGACAGAAGAGGUUUUGACACCACCGUCAUCUUCGUAGCUUGGUCUUUAUGGAAGCAAAGGAAUGCUAGAGUAUUUGGGCGGGUGGCGCAACAAAGGAGCCCGCGGCAGUUGGUACACCAAAUCUUCGAUGAGCUUAAAGAGUGGGAUGAAGCCGAUGUUGGGGGAAUACAUCGAUUUAUGAGUAGUUAG
rnacentral:rRNA from 1 species